GGCGGACGGGUGAGUAAUACUUAGGAAUCUACCUAGUAGUGGGGGAUAGCACGGGGAAACUCGUAUUAAUACCGCAUACGACCUACGGGAGAAAGGGGGCAGUUUACUGCUCUCGCUAUUAGAUGAGCCUAAGUCGGAUUAGCUAGAUGGUGGGGUAAAGGCCUACCAUGGCGACGAUCUGUAGCUGGUCUGAGAGGAUGAUCAGCCACACCGGGACUGAGACACGGCCCGGACUCCUACGGGAGGCAGCAGUGGGGAAUAUUGGACAAUGGGGGAAACCCUGAUCCAGCCAUGCCGCGUGUGUGAAGAAGGCCUUUUGGUUGUAAAGCACUUUAAGCAGUGAAGAAGACUCUUCGGUUAAUACCCGGAGACGAUGACAUUAGCUGCAGAAUAAGCACCGGCUAACUCUGUGCCAGCAGCCGCGGUAAUACAGAGGGUGCAAGCGUUAAUCGGAAUUACUGGGCGUAAAGGGAGCGUAGGUGGCUCGAUAAGUCAGAUGUGAAAUCCCCGGGCUCAACCUGGGAACUGCAUCUGAUACUGUUGAGCUAGAGUAUGUGAGAGGAAGGUAGAAUUCCAGGUGUAGCGGUGAAAUGCGUAGAGAUCUGGAGGAAUACCGAUGGCGAAGGCAGCCUUCUGGCAUAAUACUGACACUGAGGCUCGAAAGCGUGGGUAGCAAACAGGAUUAGAUACCCUGGUAGUCCAUGCCGUAAACGAUGUCUACUAGUCGUUGGGUCCCUUGAGGACUUAGUGACGCAGCUAACGCAAUAAGUAGACCGCCUGGGGAGUACGGCCGCAAGGUUAAAACUCAAUGAAUUUGACGGGGGCCCGCACAG
rnacentral:rRNA from 1 species